UUGACCUCNAAUCGGGUGAGACUACCCCGCUGAACUUAAGCNUAUCANUAAGCGGAGGAAAAGAAACUAACAAGGAUU
rnacentral:rRNA from 1 species